UGUGAGCGUAUACCAAAGUUGUUGCAGUUAAAACGCUCGUAGUCGGAAUUUGGCAGUUCCGGAUGUGUGCACGUCAUGUGCGCUUUGCGGGAAUUGCUUUUGUGUGUUCGCGUCGGAUGAGGCACGUUUAUUCGUGAACGUCCGCACGCUGCCACUUUUUACUGUGAGAAAAUCAGAGUGCUCAAAGCAGGCAUUUGCCGUGAAUGUAUUAGCAUGGAAUAAUAGAAUAGGACUCGGUUCUAUUUUGUUGGUUUGUUGGGACUGAGUAAUGAUUAAGAGGGACAGUUGGGGGCAUUUGUAUUUCGGCGCUAGAGGUGAAAUUCUUAGAUUGCCGAAAGACAAACUGCUGCGAAAGCGUCUGCCAAGGAUGUUUUCAUUGA
rnacentral:rRNA from 1 species